GAAGACUCUAAAUGUUCAUUUUGCCUUUUUUGUGAUUUUAAAAAUAUUCUCGAUUUUGCCCUUUUGAGAAAUAAUGAGCAAAAGGGGGAAUUUUUGAACACCACGUAAAUUUUAAAAGUGUACUUUAAACAGUAUACAUGACUACAAUUGGGAAUACUAUAUGCUGAGUAGUAAUCUGUGAUUUAAGAUCACAGUAAUGCAUUGGCCAUAGCUCUUACUUGCUUUAGAGCGUUGAUUGUGUGCAUCUUUUCCCAGGUUCAUACUGAGUAAUGUCGUAUCAUAUUGAUAUCUUGAAAUUGAAUAUGGUGGAAUAUUUACAGCAUGGAAAUUGGCAAAUGAUACAAGCUACAAAUGCACCCCCUUCCCUACCCCAGCCAUUUGUUAAACAUUUAUCAGCACACCACUGCUUAAGGACUAAGAGUUCUGAAUCUCCCUGAAGCUAUUUAAUAAAGGCCUUUACAUGGGCGCGGUGGCUCACGCCUGUAAUCCCAGCACUUUGGGAGGCAGAGGCGGACAGAUCACGAGGUCAGGAGAUCGAGACCAUCCUGGCUAACACAAUGAAACCCCGUCUCUACUAAAAAUACAAAAAAUUAGCCGGGCAUGGUGGCGGGCGCCUGUAGUCCCAGCUACUCGGGAGGCUGAGGCAGGAGAAUGGCGUGAACCCGGGAGGCAGAGCUUGCAG
rnacentral:lncRNA from 1 species